rnacentral:rRNA from 1 species
GACGAACGCUGGCGGCGUGCUUAACACAUGCAAGUCGAACGGUGAACCUCUUCGGAGGGGAUCAGUGGCGAACGGGUGAGUAACACGUGGGCAACCUGCCCCCGGCUCUGGGAUAACUCCAAGAAAUUGGGGCUAAUACCGGAUGUUCACCGCUUCCCGCAUGGGUGGUGGUGGAAAGGUUUUCCGGCUGGGGAUGGGCCCGCGGCCUAUCAGCUUGUUGGUGGGGUAGUGGCCUACCAAGGCGACGACGGGUAGCCGGCCUGAGAGGGUGACCGGCCACACUGGGACUGAGACACGGCCCAGACUCCUACGGGAGGCAGCAGUGGGGAAUAUUGCGCAAUGGGCGGAAGCCUGACGCAGCGACGCCGCGUGGGGGAUGACGGCCCUCGGGUUGUAAACCUCUUUCAGCAGGGACGAAGCGCAAGUGACGGUACCUGCAGAAGAAGCACCGGCCAACUACGUG